rnacentral:rRNA from 1 species
AAUUAAUGUAACAAAAUUGUUCGCCAGAGAACUACUAGCAACAGCUUAAAACUCAAAGGACUUGGCGGUGCUUUAUAUCCCUCUAGAGGAGCCUGUUCUAUAAUCGAUAAACCCCGAUAGACCUCACCGUUUCUAGCUAAUCCAGUCUAUAUACCGCCAUCUUCAGCAAACCCUUAAAAGGCACACAAGUAAGCACAAUCAUACGACAUAAAAAAGUUAGGUCAAGGUGUAGCCUAUGAAACGGGAAGAAAUGGGCUACAUUUUCUUUAACAAGAACAUUCUACGAAAGACUUUAUGAAAUUAAAGGCCGAAGGAGGAUUUAGUAGUAAAUUAAGAAUAGAGAGCUUAAUUGAAUAGGGCCAUGAAGCACGCACACACCGCCCGUCACCCUCCUCAAGUAACUCUAUUUAGACACAACAUAUUACUCUGCCCUAAUACAAGAGGAGACAAGUCGUCAACAAGGUAAGCGUACUGGAAGGUGCGCUUGGAUUAAC